rnacentral:tRNA from 1 species
CGGGGCGUGGCGUAGCUUGGCUAACGCGCCUGCUUUGGGAGCAGGAGAUCGCAGGUUCGAAUCCUGUCGCCCCGACGU